rnacentral:misc_RNA from 1 species
GAUGAAGAACGUAGCGAAAUGCGAUAAGUAAUGUGAAUUGCAGAAUUCAGUGAAUCAUCGAAUCUUUGAACGCACCUUGCACUCCUUGGUAUUCCGAGGAGUACGCCUGUUCGAGUGUUAUGAAGCUCUCAAAACGCAAUUGGCUUAAAACCUGGUUGUUGUUUUGGAUUUGAACUUUGCCGUGUUAUAACGGCUGGUUUUAAAAGUAUUAGCUGGUACUAGAACGAAUUGGUUCUACUCAACGUGAUAAUUAUCUGAUCGUUGAGGACAUUCCUUUCACGAGGAAUGGCCAUAGUAAAUUCAAUGGACUGCUUCUAAUCUGGCUUUAAUUCUUUAUUGGAUUAACCACUUUUCAAAUCUGACCUCGAAUCAGGUGGGACUACCCGCUGAACUUAAGCAUAUCAAUAAGCGGAGGA